GAUGAACGCUGGCGGCGUGCCUAAUACAUGCAAGUCGAGCGAACAGACGAGGAGCUUGCUCCUCUGACGUUAGCGGCGGACGGGUGAGUAACACGUGGAUAACCUACCUAUAAGACUGGGAUAACUUCGGGAAACCGGAGCUAAUACCGGAUAAUAUAUUGAACCGCAUGGUUCAAUAGUGAAAGACGGUUUUGCUGUCACUUAUAGAUGGAUCCGCGCCGCAUUAGCUAGUUGGUAAGGUAACGGCUUACCAAGGCAACGAUGCGUAGCCGACCUGAAAGGGUGAUCGGCCACACUGGAACUGAGACACGGUCCAGACUCCUACGGGAGGCAGCAGUAGGGAAUCUUCCGCAAUGGGCGAAAGCUUGACGGAGCAACGCCGCGUGAGUGAUGAAGGUCUUCGGAUCGUAAAACUCUGUUAUUAGGGAAGAACAAAUGUGUAAGUAACUAUGCACGUCUUGACGGUACCUUAUCAGAAAGCCACGGCUAACUACGUG
rnacentral:rRNA from 1 species